AUUGAACGCUGGCGGCAGGCCUAACACAUGCAAGUCGAACGAGUGGCGGACGGGUGAGUAAUGUCUGAGAAACUGCCUGAUGGAGGGGGACAACUGCUGGCAACGGUAGCUAAUACCGCAUACCAUCAGAUGUGCCCAGUUGGGGGUAGCUGGUUGGUGGGGUAACGGCUCACCAAGGCGACGAUACCUAGCUGGUCUGAGAGGAUGACCAGCAACACGGGAACGGAGACACGGUGUCGACUCCUACGGGAGGCAGCAGUGGGGAAUAUUGCACAAUGGGCGCAAGCCUGAUGCAGCCAUGCCGCGGGUAUGAAGAAGGCCUUCGGGUUGUAAAGUACGUUCAGCGGGGAGGCGUUACCCGCAGAAGAAGCACCGGCUAACUCCGUGCCAGCAGCCGCGGUAAUUC
rnacentral:rRNA from 1 species